rnacentral:rRNA from 1 species
UGGGGAAUUUUGCACAAUGGGCGCAAGCCUGAUGCAGCAACGCCGCGUGAGUGAAGAAGGCCCUUGGGUUGUAAAGCUCUUUCGGUUGGGAAGAAGGGUGUCUGUAUAAAUAAUGCAGAUAUUUGACGGUACCAGAAUAAGAAGCACUGGCUAAUUCCGUGCCAGCAGCCGCGGUAAUACGGAAGGUGCAAGCGUUGUUCGGAUUGACUGGGCGUAAAGCGCACGUAGGCGGGUUUGUAAGUCGAUUGUGAAAUCCCCAGGCUUAACCUGGGAACUGCAGUCGAAACUGCAAGUCUUGAAUGUUUGAGAGGUUGGUAGAAUUCCAGGUGUAGAAGUGAAAUUCGUAGAGAUCUGGAGGAAUACCGGAGGCGAAGGCGGCCGACUGGCAAAACAUUGACGCUGAGGUGCGACAGCGUGGGGAGCAAACAGG